GUGUUCACGUCGGCAGCACAUAUACUCAAACUGGAAGGAUACAGAGAAGAUGAGCAAGGAUGACACACAAAUUUGUAACACGUUCCAUAUUUUU
ensembl:snRNA U6 U6 spliceosomal RNA